ensembl:misc_RNA Metazoa_SRP Metazoan signal recognition particle RNA
ACCAGGUGCAGUGGCACAUGCCUAUAGUCACAGCUAAUUGGAAGGCUGAGGUAGGAGAAUGGCUUGAGCCUGGGAGCUCUGGGCUGUAGUGUCCUACGCCAACUGAGUGUCUGCACUAAGUUUAAUAUCAAUAUGGUGACCUCAGAAGCAGGGAUUUAGGUUUUCUAAGGAGGGGUGAAGUGACCCAGGUUGGAAACGGAGCAGGUCAAAACUCCCACGCUGAUUAGUAGUGGGAUUGUGCCCAUGACUAGCCAUGGCACUCCAUCCUGGGCAACAUAGUGAGACCCCCUU